GAAACAUCUUCGGGUUGUGAGGUUAAGCGACUAAGCGUACACGGUGGAUGCCCUGGCAGUCAGAGGCGAUGAAGGACGUGCUAAUCUGCGAUAAGCGUCGGUAAGGUGAUAUGAACCGUUAUAACCGGCGAUUUCCGAAUGGGGAAACCCAGUGUGUUUCGACACACUAUCAUUAACUGAAUCCAUAGGUUAAUGAGGCGAACCGGGGGAACUGAAACAUCUAAGUACCCCGAGGAAAAGAAAUCAACCGAGAUUCCCCCAGUAGCGGCGAGCGAACGGGGAGGAGCCCAGAGCCUGAAUCAGUGUGUGUGUUAGUGGAAGCGUCUGGAAAGGCGCGCGAUACAGGGUGACAGCCCCGUACACAAAAAUGCACAUGCUGUGAGCUCGAUGAGUAGGGCGGGACACGUGGUAUCCUGUCUGAAUAUGGGGGGACCAUCCUCCAAGGCUAAAUACUCCUGACUGACCGAUAGUGAACCAGUACCGUGAGGGAAAGGCGAAAAGAACCCCGGCGAGGGGAGUGAAAAAGAACCUGAAACCGUGUACGUACAAGCAGUGGGAGCACGCUUAGGCGUGUGACUGCGUACCUUUUGUAUAAUGGGUCAGCGACUUAUAUUCUGUAGCAAGGUUAACCGAAUAGGGGAGCCGAAGGGAAACCGAGUCUUAACUGGGCGUUAAGUUGCAGGGUAUAGACCCGAAACCCGGUGAUCUAGCCAUGGGCAGGUUGAAGGUUGGGUAACACUAACUGGAGGACCGAACCGACUAAUGUUGAAAAAUUAGCGGAUGACUUGUGGCUGGGGGUGAAAGGCCAAUCAAACCGGGAGAUAGCUGGUUCUCCCCGAAAGCUAUUUAGGUAGCGCCUCGUGAAUUCAUCUCCGGGGGUAGAGCACUGUUUCGGCAAGGGGGUCAUCCCGACUUACCAAUCCGAUGCAAACUGCGAAUACCGGAGAAUGUUAUCACGGGAGACACACGGCGGGUGCUAACGUCCGUCGUGAAGAGGGAAACAACCCAGACCGCCAGCUAAGGUCCCAAAGUCAUGGUUAAGUGGGAAACGAUGUGGGAAGGCCCAGACAGCCAGGAUGUUGGCUUAGAAGCAGCCAUCAUUUAAAGAAAGCGUAAUAGCUCACUGGUCGAGUCGGCCUGCGCGGAAGAUGUAACGGGGCUAAACCAUGCACCGAAGCUGCGGCAGCGACGCUGAUGCGUUGUUGGGUAGGGGAGCGUUCUGUAAGCCUGCGAAGGUGUGCUGUGAGGCAUGCUGGAGGUAUCAGAAGUGCGAAUGCUGACAUAAGUAACGAUAAAGCGGGUGAAAAGCCCGCUCGCCGGAAGACCAAGGGUUCCUGUCCAACGUUAAUCGGGGCAGGGUGAGUCGACCCCUAAGGCGAGGCCGAAAGGCGUAGUCGAUGGGAAACAGGUUAAUAUUCCUGUACUUGGUGUUACUGCGAAGGGGGGACGGAGAAGGCUAUGUUGGCCGGGCGACGGUUGUCCCGGUUUAAGCGUGUAGGCUGGUUUUCCAGGCAAAUCCGGAAAAUCAAGGCUGAGGCGUGAUGACGAGGCACUACGGUGCUGAAGCAACAAAUGCCCUGCUUCCAGGAAAAGCCUCUAAGCAUCAGGUAACAUCAAAUCGUACCCCAAACCGACACAGGUGGUCAGGUAGAGAAUACCAAGGCGCUUGAGAGAACUCGGGUGAAGGAACUAGGCAAAAUGGUGCCGUAACUUCGGGAGAAGGCACGCUGAUAUGUAGGUGAAGCGACUUGCUCGUGGAGCUGAAAUCAGUCGAAGAUACCAGCUGGCUGCAACUGUUUAUUAAAAACACAGCACUGUGCAAACACGAAAGUGGACGUAUACGGUGUGACGCCUGCCCGGUGCCGGAAGGUUAAUUGAUGGGGUUAGCGCAAGCGAAGCUCUUGAUCGAAGCCCCGGUAAACGGCGGCCGUAACUAUAACGGUCCUAAGGUAGCGAAAUUCCUUGUCGGGUAAGUUCCGACCUGCACGAAUGGCGUAAUGAUGGCCAGGCUGUCUCCACCCGAGACUCAGUGAAAUUGAACUCGCUGUGAAGAUGCAGUGUACCCGCGGCAAGACGGAAAGACCCCGUGAACCUUUACUAUAGCUUGACACUGAACAUUGAGCCUUGAUGUGUAGGAUAGGUGGGAGGCUUUGAAGUGUGGACGCCAGUCUGCAUGGAGCCGACCUUGAAAUACCACCCUUUAAUGUUUGAUGUUCUAACGUUGACCCGUAAUCCGGGUUGCGGACAGUGUCUGGUGGGUAGUUUGACUGGGGCGGUCUCCUCCUAAAGAGUAACGGAGGAGCACGAAGGUUGGCUAAUCCUGGUCGGACAUCAGGAGGUUAGUGCAAUGGCAUAAGCCAGCUUGACUGCGAGCGUGACGGCGCGAGCAGGUGCGAAAGCAGGUCAUAGUGAUCCGGUGGUUCUGAAUGGAAGGGCCAUCGCUCAACGGAUAAAAGGUACUCCGGGGAUAACAGGCUGAUACCGACCCAAGAGUUCAUAUCGACGGCGGUGUUUGGCACCUCGAUGUCGGCUCAUCACAUCCUGGGGCUGAAGUAGGUCCCAAGGGUAUGGCUGUUCGCCAUUUAAAGUGGUACGCGAGCUGGGUUUAGAACGUCGUGAGACAGUUCGGUCCCUAUCUGCCGUGGGCGCUGGAGAACUGAGGGGGGCUGCUCCUAGUACGAGAGGACCGGAGUGGACGCAUCACUGGUGUUCGGGUUGUCAUGCCAAUGGCACUGCCCGGUAGCUAAAUGCGGAAGAGAUAAGUGCUGAAAGCAUCUAAGCACGAAACUUGCCCCGAGAUGAGUUCUCCCUGACUCCUUGAGAGUCCUGAAGGAACGUUGAAGACGACGACGUUGAUAGGCCGGGUGUGUAAGCGCAGCGAUGCGUUGAGCUAACCGGUACUAAUGAACCGUGAGGCUUAACCUU
rnacentral:rRNA from 1 species